ACCAAUUAAACUAAGGAAGCAAUUAAAAUAAAGGAGAAUUCAAUAAGAUAAGAAUUACCAAGGUUUCAGAAUCCACCACUAUUCAACUAGUAAUUAUCUAAUUAUUAAUUAAUCCUCAAUUUUAGAGUGACAACUCGAAAUCAAUCUAUGUCAUCUCGUGAAUAUAACAAUUAAGCCCAAGUAAUUAAAUCUAAUGUAGGUUUUUUUUCUGCUUAAUAAUAUGACAUCUAAGAAUCUCAUGUAAACAUAUUGAAUAACAAAGAGUCAAAGUUUUCUAAGUACUCCAUGUAAACAAUUUAAUGAAAGAUAUAAAAUCAAAGAUAAUCAUGUAUAAACUUUAUAGAUCCAAGCAUAGAAUUAAUCGAAUAUUAAUCUUAACAAUCAAUAAUGCAUGACAGAAUUGAUGAAAAGAUUUUAUUAACAUCCAAUUAAUCAUGUGAAAUAAAAACCAUAAUCAUCAAAGAACAUAUAUAUGGAAUUAAUUAAAUAAAAAGAUAAUUAUUUUAUUGAAUAGGGUUUCAUCCUUAACCUCAGUGUAAGAAAAUUAGCUAAACAUACUUGAAUUGGGAGUAACACAAGAAAUAAAAUCAGCCAUGGAAGCUGAAAUAUUGCUACUGCCGAUUGCUCUCUUCCAGCCCUUGCGUCUGCACUCCCUUCUGGCGGCCCUCUAAUUCAAAAGCAAAACUCCCUUUUAUAUUGCUUGGCCACCGAAUCCUAUUGUGAUUCUAAUAACUAAACCAACUUUUACAAGCUAAAGCCCUAAGCUUGCCACGUAAUUGAAAACAAUAAAAGCCAAAAGCUAUUGAUUUCCUUCCUUUAUUCUACUUUGACUUUCCAUUCAAAGGCUUAAUUAAGAGCUUUGUUUUUAUGUGCUGCCCACUUUAGCUUUAACCUUCUUCUUUGUUUGCACGUGGAUGGUGAAUGCAUUUGUUGAGUUCGGUUUUCUUGGCUUGAAUUAACAUGCAUAUAAGCAUAAUUGCUUCCAAGUUAAUUAAUCUUUAAUGCUCACAAAUUGAACUCCUUUGUGCCCUUUUUAUUCAUAAUCUCCAAUUAAUUCCCUAUUCAAUAAAAUAAUUCAAUUAAUUAAAAAUAACAAAUAAAUAUAACUAACAAUUAUUUAAUUAAUGGUAAAAUAUGUAUGUAUUAUAUGCUCAUCAAAUACCCCCAAACUUGGAUUUUGCUAGUCCUCGAGCAAAACUAAAACUAAAAACAAAAACAAAAGUAACGAAACAAAAAGUAAAUCCUAACUAAACCACUUUCGCAGGUGAUCGCGAUUGCAUUUAGCGUAUGCAACAAGCCUUUAAACCCCUAGGCGGCCCUAGUGGACGAGUUAUAGUCUCGUGAGGGCUUCAGUGAUGAUACCCACAAACAUCAUUUAAAAAAAAUAAUAAUAAAUUAAAUUAAAUCAAAAGAACGAAAACCUUAGCUCAAAGAAAAUUUUAAAUAUUAGCAAAGUUCUAACUUUAAUUCAAUAGUCAAUCCCACCUCUCUUUUGAUUCUUGUAGUGUGUGUGUGAAAUCAAUUCAAUCAAAUCAAUUCCCAAAAUCCUCAACUUCAACAACCUUCGCCUCAAACAAAGAAAAGAGUAGGUCAAACUAAUCUUAUCAUCUUGAUCUCCAAUUUUUUUUUUCACAGGCUUUUAUGUGCAUUUUCUUUUGAUUUUUUUUUCAGCACAUGCACUUGAUUUGAUUUUUCUUUUUCUCUUUUUUUUUUCUUCCUUUUUUUUAACCAUAGUCAGGAGCUUUCACUCUACCCCUUAAAGUAGCCUUCUUCUCAUGGUAGAUUAUCCUCUACAUAUUGGUGGUACAUAGGCCCAAAUUACUCAAGGAUAGCUUCACUCUUAAGGGUUAUAGGUAGCUAUUUCUGACUUUGGUGCCCGUGUAUACUAUUGUGUAUUGUGGAGAUAAGAAUCAAGACAAACAGUCAUUUACUCUAUCUAAAAUUCUCAACUCAGGCUGCGUCAAUCUCAAAUUUCAAGUCAAAAUUACGAAAGAAUUGAUAUUAGUGCUCAUGGUUUAAAGAAUCUCAAUCAAGAGGAACUAACACAAGAAUCAAGUAUAAACUAAGACAAUAUUCAACCCUUUCUAAAAACCAUAUUCAUUGUCAAUCAAAUUCUUAUCAUUGGCUUUUCACAUAAAAACAAAAAACAACAACUUUUUUUUUUUGAAUUUUUGAAUUUUUUUUAAAAUUUUUUUUUUGGUUUUUUUUUAACAAACAAAGCACACACUAUUCCCACCCCCCAAACUUAUUUGGAACAUUGUCCUCAAUGUUUCACAAACAAAAGAUAUGCAUGCAAACAAAUGAAAGAAAAAUAAUAAUAAUAAUAAUAAUAAUAAUAAUAAUAAUAAUAAUAAUAAUAAUAAUAAUAAUAACAACAUAAAUAAUAAAAAGAAAGUUGGAGAGAUCACACCUGGAUGGACUGAGAAAGCUUAAAAGAAAAUGCCAAAUGAAAAGAAAACAUUAGAAAAGAAAAAUACUAGAAAAGAAAAACAAACAAAGAAAAGAAAACCUACUAUUAAAAUAAAACAAGAGUGCAAAGAUGAACUUAAUUAAUCCUGAUAAACAGGAUCAUCUAAAAGUAUCUCCUCAACUUCUGGUGUUCUUAACUCUAAAAAUGGUUUUAAUCUUUGACCAUUGACCUUAAAUAAAUCACCAUUUUUAGAAUUUUCAAUCUCAAUUGCUCCAUAAGGGAAGACAGUACGAACUACAAAAGGACCAGACCAUCGAGAACGUAACUUACCUGGAAAGAGAUGCAAUCGGGAAUUAUAUAAAAGUACUUUCUGACCUGGUGUAAAGGAUUUUCUCAAAAUGUGCUUGUCAUGAAAGACUUUCAUACGUUGCUUGUAAAUCUUGGCAUUAUCAUAUGCAUCAUUCCUGAUCUCUUCAAGUUCUGCUAGUUGUAAUCUUCUCUUGGAACCAGCCUGCUGCAUGUCAAAAUUGAAUUUCUUGAUAGCCCAAUAUGCACGAUGCUCCAACUCUACUGGCAGAUGACAUGCUUUUCCAUAUACAAGUCUAUAAGGCGACAUCCCAAUUGGUGUUUUAAAAGCAGUCCUAUAUGCCCACAAUGCAUCAUCAAGUCUCAAAGACCAAUCCUUUCUAUCUGGCCUAACUGUUUUCUCUAGAAUCUGCUUGAUCUCUCUAUUAGAAAUCUCUACUUGGCCACUGGUUUGAGGAUGGUAUGGGGUGGCAACCUUAUGUGUAAUGGAAUAUUUGUUCAAAAGAGUUUUGAAAGGUUUAUUGCAAAAAUGGGUACCACCAUCACUAAUGAUUGUUCUAGGGAAACCAAAACGAGACAAAAUAUUACUCUUCAAGAAUUUCACUACAACCCUAUGAUCAUUGGUUUUGCAUGGAGUAGCUUCAACCCACUUCGACACAUAGUCUACUGCAACCAAUAUAUACUGAUAACCACAAGAUGGAGGAAAAUGUCCCAUGAAAUCAAUACCCCAUACAUCGAAGAUCUCAACCACAAGAAUAUGAUUGAGUGGCAUCAUGUUCCUCUUUGAAAUGCUACCCAUACGUUGGCACCUAUCACACAAAGAACAGAAAACGUAAGCGUCAUGAAAAAGAGUAGGCCAAUAAAAACCACAUUGUAAAAUUUUUGUUGCUGUCUUUUUAGCACUAAAGUGGCCUCUACAAGCUUGUUCAUGGCAAAAUGAGAUAACACUUUGAAUUUCAUUAUCGGGAACACAUCGCCUAAUAAUCUGAUCAGCACAAUAUUUAAAUAAAUAGGGAUCAUCCCAAAAGAAGUCUUUCACUUUAGAUAAGAACUUUGUUCUAUCUUGCUUAGCCCAGUGCUCUAGAAUUUGACCUGUAGCAAGGUAAUUAACUAUAUCAGCAAACCAUGGUACAACAUUUACACUCAUAAGUUGCUCAUCUGGGAAAGACUCAUUCAAAGGUAAAGAUUCUGGAAUAAAUUUAAGAUCAAGGCGAGAUAAAUGAUCCGCCACAACAUUUUCAGAACCUUUUUUAUCUCUAAAUUCAAUGUCAAAUUCUUGUAAAAGCGACACCCAACGAAUCAAUCUUGCCUUGGCAUCUUUCUUAGUAAACAAAUAUUUUAAAGCAGCAUGAUCAGUAAAAAUAAUCACUUUACAACCUAUAAGAUAAGAUCUGAAUUUAUCAAGUGCAAAUACCACAGCUAGCAUUUCUUUUUCUGUAGUUGAAUAGUUCAACUGUGCAUUAUUGAGUGUCAUACUAGCAUAAUAAAUCACAUAAGGCACACGAUCUAAUCUUUGUCCUAAAACUGCUCCUACAGCAUAAUCAGAUGCAUCACACAUAAUUUCAAAAGGCAAAUCCCAAUUAGGUGGCUGAAUGAUAGGUGAAGAAGUCAACAAUUUCUUAAGCUUUGCAAAAGCAUCAAGACAAGAUUCAUCAAAGAUAAAAGGUGCAUCCUUAACAAGUAAAUUGCAUAAAGGUCUAGAAAUUUUACUAAAAUCUUUAAUGAAUCUUCUAUAAAAACCAGCAUGUCCAAGGAAAGAUCUUACUUCUUUUACGGAUUUGGGAUAUGGAAGAUUAGAAAUUAAAUCCACCUUAGCUUUGUCGACUUCUAUACCUUUGCUGGAAAUUAUAUGACCAAGAACAAUACCUUGUUUUACCAUGAAGUGACACUUUUCCCAAUUUAGAACCAAAUUCUUUUCUUUACAUCUCUGCAAAACUAAUGUUAGGUGCUGUAAACAUUCAUCAAAAGAAUCUCCAUAAACAAAAAAAUCAUCCAUGAAUACUUCAAGAAAUCUCUCAACUAUAUCAGAAAAAAUACUAAGCAUGCAUCUUUGAAAGGUAGCAGGUGCAUUGCAUAAACUAAAUGGCAUUCUCCUAUAUGCAAAAGUUCCAAAGGGACAAGUAAAAGUAGUUUUCUCCUGGUCCUCUGGAGCUAUAGGGAUCUGAUUAUAACCUGAAUAUCCAUAUAGAAAACAAUAAAAAUCAUGACCUGCAAGUCUAUCAAGCAUUUGAUCAAUAAAUGGAAGAGGAAAAUGAUCUUUUCUUGUGAAUGAAUUCAAUUUUCUAUAAUCAAUGCAAACACGCCAACAUGUAGUUACUCUAGUGGGAAUUAAUUCAUUAUUAGCAUUAGUAACUACUGUAACACCAGAUUUCUUAGGAACAACUUGCACAGGGCUAACCCAAGAGCUAUCUGAAAUAGGAUAAAUAAUUCCUGCAUCUAAUAAUUUGAUUACUUCAGCUCUUACCACUUCUUUCAUUUUAGGAUUUAGCCUACGUUGCAUUUCCCUAAUAGGUUUAGCAUUUUCUUCAAGAUGAAUACGAUGCAUGCAAUCUACUGGAUUAAUACCUUUAAUAUCAGCGAUGGUCCAUCCUAUUGCCUCCUUAUAUUUUUUUAGAAUACCUAACAACUUACCUUUUUGCUCAAGAUCGAGGGAAGAAGAAAUAAUGACAGGUAGAGUGUCAGAUUCUCCCAAGAAUGCAUAUUCCAGAGUGUCGGGCAAUGCUUUGAGUUCCAAUUUUGGUGGUGCCUCUGCAGAUGGGCCAAUUUUCUUCUCAGAAUGAGGCAGUAGUUCUGACUUUGUCUUCCAUUUAGUUGUGUCCGUAAUUGGAGGUGCAUCAAGUAAAGCGCUGACUUCUGCAAUUGCACUGUCAUCAUUAAAAGAUAAAUCAGAAUGAGUUAGACAUGCCUCUAAUGGAUCAUCAGUAUGGUUAGAAAUGAAUGAAUCUUCUACUAAUUCCUCUAUCAUAUUUGCUUCAACAAAUUCAUCUUCUUCUUGUGGCUGCUUGGUAACAUUAAAAAUAUUCAAUUCCAUGGUCAUAUUACCAAAAGAUAGCUGCAUAUUUCCAUUCCUGCAAUUAAUAAGAGCAUCAGCUGUAGCUAAGAAAGGACGACCUAGAAUAACUGGAGUGUGUUUCUUAGGAUCAUGCACAUGCUGAGUAUCAAUAACGAUAAAAUCAAUAGGAUAAUAAAAUUUGUCAAUCUGUAUCAACACAUCCUCUAUAAUACCACGAGGUAUUUUCAUUGAUCUAUCAGCAAGUUGCAAAACAAUAGGAGUUGAUUUUAACUCACCUAGUCCAAGUUGCAUGUAAACAGAAUAAGGCAAGAGAUUAACACUAGCACCCAAAUCCAAUAAUGCUUUAUCAAAACAUUGGUUCCCUAUAACACAUGAGAUAGUAGGAGAACCAGGAUCCUUAAAUUUUGGUGGCAUUUUACAUUGAAGUAAAUUGCUAGUUUGUUCAGUUAAAAAUGCCUUUUUAGUGACAUGUAAAUUUCUCUUUUUAGUGCAUAAAUCUUUUAAAAACUUGGCAUAGGAAGGAACUUGCUUAAUGGCAUCGAGUAAAUGGAUGUUUAUACUUACCUGUUUGAAGAUUUCCAUAAUCUCACCUGUUGAAGUCUCUUUCUUUACCUUUGUUAACCUUUGAGGAAAAAGAGCUUUAGGAAUGUAAGUUGGUGGGCCACUCUCUUCUAGAUCAUUUGGUGAUGAGUCUUGUGAUGGAACUGGAUCUGAAGAAGUAGGCUCAGAUGUCUUCCUUGUUUGAACCUCUACUUUGUUGUCAAAUAAUUUUCCUCUUCUCAAGGUCAUAACAGAUUUUGCUUCUUCAUGUUGAUGGCUUGAACUCGAUCCAACUUCGUGCACUCCUUUGGGAUUAGGAAUUGGUUGACUUGGAAAUUUUCCUUUUUCUCUCUCAGCUACAGUAGUUGCUAAUUGACCCAAUUGAUGUUCAAGCUUUAGAAUAGCGUGAGUAUUUGACUGAAAAGCUUGUUGGGUUGACUGAAUGAAACUUUGAAGUGUAUCCUCUAAAGAAGGCUUUCUUUGUUGGGGUGCAACAAAUUGAAACAUAGGUUGUUGGGCAGGAGGAUAUACUUGAUUAUGAGGGACAAAUUGUUGAUUGGGCAUGUUAAAUUGUUGUCCUCCUUGGUUUGACAAAGGCUGAUUUUGUUUCCAAGAAAAAUUAGGGUGAUUCCUCCAAUUAGGAUUAUAUGUGGGUGAAUAUGGAUUAUUAGGGGUUUUCUCAUAUGAUUGUAAGGCAUGUACCUGCUCAGAAUAAGCCUCUUGAUAAACUGGUAAUGAUGGACAAUUCUGUGCUGUAUGAGACAAGUUAGAACAAAUAGCACAAACCUCAUUAGCUACACUAGGAUGAUGAUUCAUGGAUUGGUUCAGAGCUAAGGCAUCCACUUUCCUAGAAAGUGUAGCUAGAGUGGCUUUCACAUCAAAGUCAUCAUUAAGUUCGUAUAGACCCUUUCUAGAAACUUGAGAUAAUUUUUCCCUUUGAUUUGAAAAAUCCCACUGUUGAGAAUUUUCAGAAAGUGAAUUAAAGAAAUCCCAUGCAGCCACUUCAUGUAAGUUCAAAAAUCUCCCACCAUUCAUAGACUCUACCAUAUGACGAUUUGACAUGGUUAAACCGUUAUAAAAGCAUUGUAUAAGUCUCCAUUUUUCAAAACCAUGGUGGGGACACUUAAGGAGUAAAUCAUUGAAUCUUUCCCAACACUCGUAAAAUUGCUCACCCUCUCUUUGAUAAAAAUCACUUAUCUCUCUCCUAAGGGCAUUUGUUUUAGACAUAGGGAAAAACUUGGUGAGAAACUUAUUACUCAAUUCAUCCCAUGUACUAAUAGAUCCAGCAGGAAGUGAAUUCAACCAAGCUUUUGCUUUGUCUUUUAAUGAGAAAGGGAACAUACGAAGCUUAAUUGACUCAUCAUUAAAAUUUUGAAAACGGAAUGUAGAGCAUAUGUCAAGAAAUUCCUUAAUGUGCAAAUAUGGAUCCUCUCUCUCUAACCCAUGGAAAGAUGGUAAAAGUUGAAUGACAGAGGGCUUAAGUUCAAAGUGUGUUGCUGUAGUUUGUGGCAACACAAUACAAGAUGGUUGGUUGGCUGCAAGUGGUGAAAAAUAUUCUCUAAGGGUUUUCUCUGCUUGCACUGGUGGAAGUAUUGGCAAUAAUCUAUUUGGGUCAUCCAUCACUUCUAAAGAACUAGCUUGACUACUAUCAAUUUUCGACUCUCUUUUAACCAAACGAUUUGUUAAAUCACGUUCCCAAACACUCAUAAACUAACUAGACAAGGAAAGAAAGAAAAACAAAAUAAAAUAAAACAAAUCAACAAUAAUAAAAAAUAAAUAAAAGAAAUCAAACAACCAAACAAUGAAUUUAAAGACAAAUAAUUUUUUUUUGUGUUUUUUUUUAAUUAAAAAAAAUAUAAAAGACAAUCUAAAUUAUAACUAGUGGAAGAAAAUUAGCUAAACAUACUUGAAUUGGGAGUAACACAAGAAAUAAAAUCAGCCAUGGAAGCUGAAAUAUUGCUACUGCCGAUUGCUCUCUUCCAGCCCUUGCGUCUGCACUCCCUUCUGGCGGCCCUCUAAUUCAAAAGCAAAACUCCCUUUUAUAUUGCUUGGCCACCGAAUCCUAUUGUGAUUCUAAUAACUAAACCAACUUUUACAAGCUAAAGCCCUAAGCUUGCCACGUAAUUGAAAACAAUAAAAGCCAAAAGCUAUUGAUUUCCUUCCUUUAUUCUACUUUGACUUUCCAUUCAAAGGCUUAAUUAAGAGCUUUGUUUUUAUGUGCUGCCCACUUUAGCUUUAACCUUCUUCUUUGUUUGCACGUGGAUGGUGAAUGCAUUUGUUGAGUUCGGUUUUCUUGGCUUGAAUUAACAUGCAUAUAAGCAUAAUUGCUUCCAAGUUAAUUAAUCUUUAAUGCUCACAAAUUGAACUCCUUUGUGCCCUUUUUAUUCAUAAUCUCCAAUUAAUUCCCUAUUCAAUAAAAUAAUUCAAUUAAUUAAAAAUAACAAAUAAAUAUAACUAACAAUUAUUUAAUUAAUGGUAAAAUAUGUAUGUAUUAUAUGCUCAUCAGUAC
rnacentral:lncRNA from 1 species